rnacentral:rRNA from 1 species
UAAAGCGGAGGUAUUCGGGGAGGACAGGUGCUGCAUGGUUGUCGUCAGCUCGUGCCGUGAGGUGUCGGGUUAAGUCCCAUAACGAGCGCAACCCCUAUCAUUAGUUGCCAUCAGGUCAAGCUGGGGACUCUAAUGAAACUGCCUACGCAAGUAGUGAGGAAGUGGGGAUGACGUCAAAUCAGCACGGCCCUUACGUCCAGGGCUACACACGUGCUACAAUGGCCGGUACAAAGGGCAGCUACCUGGUGACAGGAUGCUAAUCUCAAAAGCCGGUCUCAGUUCGGAUUGCAGUCUGCAACUCGACUGCAUGAAGUUGGAAUCGCUAGUAAUCGUGGAUCAGCCAAGCCGCGGUGAAUACGUUCCCGGGCCUU